AAUAGCUUCGGAAAUACGACUUAUAUAGCAAAUCGAACAUUGUCGAAGAAGUCAAUAUCUGGAAAUCCGACUAAUUCGACAAAGAGAACUUCAGUAACCUUCGGUAAUCUCCGCGAAAAUCCGAGUGAUUCGAAAAAAUCGAGUAUACUUCCAAAGAAGAUAAUCUUCGGAUAUUCGGCUAAUUCGGCAAAUGAAACAUCUUUGGCAACCUCUGAGAGAUUCGAAGAGUGUCGAACAUCUUCGGAAAUCCACUAUUUCGGCAAGACGAGCUCUGUCGAAGCAUGUGCAGAAUAUCUUCGGAAAUCCGAGUAGUUGGGAAAAUCGAUUUACUGCCAAAAAAGACCAUCUUCAGAAAUCUGACUAAUUCAGUAAAGAGAACAUCUCUGGUAACCUUUGGUAACCUCUAGGAAAAUCAUACUUUUUCGAGCAUCUUCGGUAAUCCGACUGUCGCUUUUGAGUGGUAUACCGCGGAAUAUCCCACAAGACACUCGUAUUUUCUUAGUAUACACACUCGCCUUAAGGCUGUGUUUAUACCGAAAAAUUCAAAUGACUUGUGGGAUAUAACUAUUCCAUAAGGGAUCACUGUUCCGUCGUUUUGUUACUUUCCAGUAGCAAAAUUCGUACAUUAUUCAUGUCAUCUGGACUGUAGCCCUAAACAAUUCAACCCAGGCAAGUAAGCGGUAGGGCUAUAGCCCUUCCUCCCCCUCCGCGGUCCCUGACUUCAUUUGUGGUUUUGCACAUAUCUUUCAGUAACCUGAAAUGCCAGUCAUCUCCCACCCUCAGCUGAAUCCCCGGGCGAUUAGGCUGAGCGCGGAAGAUGACUGACAUUUGACGCCAUCCUUUCAGCAUCUUCGGAGACCCAGGGGCAGUUAGUCGGGACGACGCGAUAUUUUCGGAUGACGCAACAUUUUCGGGCGAAAGUUUACCUCUUGAUGUAAACUUUCGCUUGAAACUAUCGCGUCGACUAUGACCUUUCAGCUCCCUUUCAGCUAGCGGGAAAGCUUCUUGAGCCGACUGUACCAGAGGAUGAACAGCAGUUUCCUUCUCAAAUUCAAGAUGGCGGACGGUGAGUAGUGUCUUGCAACGAAUGUGUUAAAAAUUGCUAUUUAAAGUAAAACUAGGCCGAAGUAUAAGUCCUCUUAUGUUAUUUUUUCGAAUAAAUUCUAGCUUCCUCUAUGGAAAAGUGCUGGAAAAUGUGCCGUCACUUCCUUCUUGUCUGAAGAGACGGUGAUGGACAAAACACUGACUCCCCAGUCCAUGGACUACCCAAAUGGACUACCCUAAAAUGGACUAACCUUGAAAAUAAUAUUUGAAAUGAGUACUAUUUAUAGCUGCUAGCAUACUUAAAUGACACACAACUUCCGCUUAUGUUCAUCCUGUACAGCCUCUAGCCACCAUUUUGAAUAAUUGUACUUAAAAUAAACAACUGCUGAACAAAAAAUUUCAGGUCAGUCAGAUCAAACUCUUGAAGAAGUGUUAAAAUCUAUCAAGCACGCAAUUCUAGUUGGUAAAGGAGGAGUUUAUGACACAGACAGCAUGGACUCUUUACAACAAAGGAAAGAAGUUGGCAUACUGGAUGGUGACUUAUGUGGAUGAAGUAUUCCAAGGAUGGUGAAUUUAGAGGGAAAAGGUAUACACCAGUGUUGUGCUGGCAAUGAUCAAGCAGUUUCUAUCAGAUGUGUGUUGGGGUGACCUGGGUUGCCAGAUUAUGGAUACACCUCCAGAUUGGUUUUGUUCAAUCCAGGGACAUCUGAUGAGCACAUUACAGUAGUAGAAAUCCUGUGACAUUAUAAUCCAGAUGGAGCAAUUCUUAUCACUACUCCUCAGGAAUGUACAAAUGCAUGCAUUUUCAAAAGCAGGAGGUGAAGCCUUGGCAAAGAGCUAUGAUGCUCCAUUUUUAGGUAAAAAUACUUAUUAACAUCAGUGACUACACAGGAAGGGGGAUAGAGGGGUUAGGGGCAAGCUAGAUCAUGUUUUGUGGAAAAUGGUCUUUUCCCACAAUUUUUUGCACUUGUCUAUAUUAGUAUUUAUAAUAUAG